rfam:Populus trichocarpa scaffold_17_contig_193, whole genome shotgun sequence.
UAAUCUGUCUAGGGUAGAUCGUCAUCUGAUUAUGAUAGACUCACACUUGACUGCUUAGAAGCACUUGUUAUUUCAAGCUCGACUACAUCACUAUGUCUAUGAGAAAGAUCUUUUUCUUUUUUGAUAUUAAA